rnacentral:rRNA from 1 species
GGUAUAACAUGACCUCCUGGUUUUGUUACUAAAGAAUUUCGGUAGAGGAUGGGGAUGCGUUCCAUUAGGCAGUUGGCGGGGUAACGGCCCACCAAACCUUCGAUGGAUAGGGGUUCUGAGAGGAAGGUCCCCCACAUUGGAACUGAGACACGGUCCAAACUCCUACGGGAGGCAGCAGUGAGGAAUAUUGGUCAAUGGGCGAGAGCCUGAACCAGCCAAGUAGCGUGAAGGAUGACCGCCCUAUGGGUUGUAAACUUCUUUUAUAUGGGAAUAAAGUCUGCCACGUGUGGCAUUUUGUAUGUACCAUAUGAAUAAGGAUCGGCUAACUCCGUGCCAGCAGCCGCGGUAAUACGGAGGAUCCGAGCGUUAUCCGGAUUUAUUGGGUUUAAAGGGAGCGUAGGUGGACAUGUAAGUCAGUUGUGAAAGUUUGCGGCUCAACCGUAAAAUUGCAGUUGAUACUGC